rnacentral:rRNA from 1 species
UACAGAGGGGGCAAGCGUUAUUCGGAAUUAUUGGGCGUAAAGGGCGCGUAGGCGGCUUUGCAAGUGACGGGUGAAAUCCCUCGGCUUAACCGAGGAACUGCCUGUCAAACUGCAUGGCUUGAGACCGGGAGAGGUGAGUGGAAUUCCCAGUGUAGCGGUGAAAUGCGUAGAUAUCUGGAGGAACACCGGUGGCGAAGGCGGCAUCCUGGACCAACACUGACGCUGAGGAGCGAAAGCCAGGGGAGCAAACGGG